AGAAGUUCAAGAUGAGCCGAUCGGGCAAGAAUCAAUGAGUGAUGCUAACGUAGCAGAACAAGUUGAGAUACCCAUGGCAAGAGAGGCACCGCCACAACCACGAAGGUCAGCAAGGCUCCGCGAAAUGCGGGAAAUAUUAUUAUUGGACAAUGAUGAGCCUGCAACAUAUGCAGAAGCAAUGAUGGACCCAGACUCCGAAAAAUGGCAGAGUGCCAUGCAAUCCGAAAUAGAGUCCAUGGGAG
rnacentral:lncRNA from 1 species